UGGGAGAGCUUAAGAUACAACUCAAUUCCUGAGCUUCUAGUCAGUUAAUUAGCCCCUGAGACUCCCUGCCAAUCAUAUGUUCCAUAUGGACACAAAAGCCUUGGAAUGUUUAAACUCAUUUGAUGAUUUUCCCUUAACCUUUAGGGACAAUGAAGGUUAUUCUUAGAAGGAAGGAUUGUAGGGAGAGGAUACAGUUCCAGUCAUGGGUAACAAGGCUGAAGAAUUUUGCCCCUUUCUACUCCCCAUAUUACUCCUUGGGGCCCCCAUUCCACUCCAAGCAUUGUUGUUUGGUAGGCUCAGGUACUCGAAGGCAAUUCCCAAUUGAAUAAAAUGUUUCAUUCCAAAAUAAAAUAUUAUAGACUGAACAAGAACAGGAAAGCAGCCAGCAAAAGAACAGACAUAUAAAAACAAAAUAAAGAGCUCUAAAGGGAGAUGUGGUGGUGAUGAAAAGAGUAUAAAAAACUAAACCUUUCUUUUUUUUAACCUUGAAACUGAUCUCUUGAGCACCAUAUAUAAUUCUUCACUGGUUGAUCGGAGAAAGCAGUAGAGAUUUAGAAAAGAAUAGAGCUUCUUUAAUAGGCAUAGGGGAUUUAUUCUCCAUGUCACUUAGCACUAGCAAAGCAUCACAGAACAAAUAAGAGGAGAAGAGCCCAGAAAAGGCCAGAUUGCGGUUUUCAUGAGUAGUGGCAGGUUAUCCCUUAUAGGUCUCCCUGUCACUGAGUGGGAAAUUCCUCACCUUCACCACUGCGUGCACGUAUGGUACAUCCAUGCUCAUCCUCAAGUAUUUUCCUUUCACAGAAUCCUAUUUCAUUCAGCCGAGACCACUGGCUCAGCCUAAUGAACUGAGAGAACAGUAUCAAUGCUGGGACACACAUCACAAAUGCCUUUUCGACACAAUAGAGACCCUCUCAUUAGAAGCCAGUAACUUGUUUUCCUUAUCACAAAAAAAAGCCCAAAUAUAACUGAUAUUAAGGAUGAUUACAACAGCAGCAAUCUUCCCAAUGAAAAGUGGAAUAUCAGAACUCUUUAAUAGAACCACACAUGUUUUUAGGGUGCUCCCUAAGGUGCAGAGAGACCAAGAGGCUCUACAAGACCAAACAUCCAGUUGGAAGGAGAACCACAUCUGGAGCCUAUGUCUCCAUAAUGACCACGCCACUGCUCUUUCCAGUGCCAGAGAAUAUAUAGAAUUCCGGUGUGUGUCGCCACAGGAACAAGACUGGGCCUGCCUGCUGGAGGAUGAGAGGCACGUGGACAAGUCUCAGUCGUCCUGUCUAUCGCAGCUUUCCCAGCCAGGCUGGCUGGUGCCCCAGACAUUGAUCUCUCCCUACUUUCCAUCAGGAGCAAUUGCGUCUACAGAAUUCAAGGAAGCUAACAAGCAAGCAAAAGCGCGGUUUGCCCUCUCCUAGUGGAGCCCUGUAGCAGCCAUCUGGGGCAAUCAAUUAAGGUCUGCCUCCCCUAUGUUGUCUGGUCCUGGGAAACAUCCCCCACACAGGAAGAACUCAUUGGCGUAAGAGUAAUGAUAGCUCCCGCUUACUAACUAUCAUGUACGUUCUCCACUCAGUAGAGUCCCAUCUAACAAGUGGCUUAAGGCCAGGAUUCAAACCCAGGUAUCUGUCUCCCAUACUCCUCCCAGCGCCCCCUUGACUUCCCCACAGGCAGAAGGAAAAAGGAAGGAUGCGUGCAGAAAACGAAUAAUGGCAGCAGUCGCCAGCACUUACUGAGUGCAUGUUAUAUGCCAGGCACUGUGCUAACACUCUCCGCUCAUGAUAUUUAAAGCACACACUGAUUAUUUCCAUUUUCUAGAUAAGAGAAAUGAGGCUUGGCAAGAUUGAACAACUUUCCCAAGAUCACACAGCUGGGAAAGUCUGAGCAGGGUUUUGAACCUAGGCAAUCUGACUAGUGCCUUUAAGAACACCAUGCCUACUAAAUUUGUAGGGGGGCUCAGGAACCCCGAAGCUAGGGGCCCUAACAUGGCAUUGAUAGACCCAUUUUGGAGAUGGGCCCCUGGCCAUAUACCCUUGUUCAGUUUAUGAACAUUGGUAGUGCUAGGAAGAAAGCCAUCUACAUUUUAACCCUGAGGACACUUCUGCUGGAAAGAGAACUUAUAACCAGACUCCUUCAAAGGUUAAGUGCUGGGUUAAAUAGUCCCUUCCUUGUGACCUGAUCAGAGACAACUAUUCAUAUCAAUGUGAGAUGUUCACGGGAGAAACUAGGGCCACAAAAUUACUAGGCCAAAGUGGCUGAAAACACAAUGAAAUUGGCAGAGGUGAACUGGGAAGUAUUUCUCCGAGGGAGGCACUGAUCUGAAUGCAUCAUCUCCCGCGAUCACCUCUAUAAUUGAGGCCCUCCCAAGGAGCCAGUUAAGGCCAAUGAGAGCUCCCUUCAUUUCCAGGGAGAGGCUCCCAGCUUCCCCUCCAAGCACACACAGCCAGAGUCUUGUUUACCCAAGAAGAGCCGGCCGGAGGUAAAUCUGAAGUCCUGUAGUCUGAGAACUUGCCCAAAGAAAGAGAGGUGGCUCUUACAAGAAAUACAGCCCCUGAAGUUAUAAUCAAGAGAAAGCUGUUGAUGUUGAUACUGCUUCUUCGCAUCUCCAAAGGACAUGUGUUCACCUGCUUUUUGCCUACAUCUACCCAAUCAGUCUUUGCUAUUUGAGCAGCUCUUAUUUAUGAAUCAAGACACGAGGUUCAUUAUGAAAGGGGUAGAGAUAUCUAUUAGGAACAAGAUCCACCCUAUUUGAACUGGGGUUUCAUGGUUCACGUGAAAUGACAGUUAAGCCUAGAACCACAGCCCCAGGGAGACAAGGUGCCACCACUGGUCAACCACCACAGGCAGGGAGGAGGAGAAGGAUGAGUACGCCACCGUAACGCCUUCAAUAACGCAGAACACCAGCAUUUACCGUUUCAAUCACAGGAUGUUUAAGCCGACAGUGACGUUAGAAGCCAUCUCUUCCAAACCCCUGAGUUUACAAAUAGGGAGACUGAGCUUCUUAGAGAUGGGGAGUUCCUUCAAGACCAUUCAUCCAGAAAGGAGAUUCAGACCAGAACCCCAGGGCUCUAAUCCUCACCCAGUGUUCUUCUCAGCCCACCUCAUAGCCAGGCUCUAACCAUUCUAUAUUAGCUUUUCUAUUUGACAACAGUAACAUUUUUUAAUUUUCAUUUUUAGAAAGAAAAGGGAUUUCCCCUUUUGGUGCUAGGUUCAUGAAUUCCACUUACUUUUUGUGGGCGGACAUUUUCUUCUCCACUGCCUUUGUUGAUUCCUGAUAUACUCAAGCCAAAGUCAGCACUCUCCGCGUGAGAAUUAGUGACAGCCUCCUGAAGAAAGAGGAAGCCAGUGGGAAGUCAGCCAUGGAAAGCAAGUUACAGAGGCCGGUAGAAACUGCCAAUUCCAUCGUCCCAAAUCACACGCUGGAUAUCAGUUCAGUAGAUAGGAACCCCAUGUGCCACUUCUGUGCAGUCCCAACAAGAUGAGUUCGCUGGCUGCCUGCGCCACGUGGGAAGAGCUGUCGCUGGAAGCCAUGGGCUCCAAGGAGCUUUUCCAGUGGAGGAAACCAUGGUGCCUCAGCCCAAACCCACACUGGCUUUUCUCCUGUGACCAGAGGUGUUUGAUGCUGGGAGUGGCUGAGUUUGGAGAUGGAGCAGAGUCAAUAGUCAACCAGCCACCUGUGGAAUUCUCUUGCCCCACCUUCACCUCCCUUCCACCUGAGUCAGACUACACUGGCCAGAGGUAUACAACCUCUUUGAGAGUGCGAGAUUCCUUCUGACAAUUGAGUUUCAUGAUUACUCCUUUCUCUCCCACUGGGCAUCUCUGACAUCCAG